UCCCUGGUGGUCCAGUGGUUAGGACUCUGCACUUUUACUGCUGAAGAUCCAGGUUCAAUCCCUGGUCGGAGAA